UACUGGUGUUCGUGGACUUGUUCCAAACACCUUUUUAUGAACGGAGUAAUAGAAUGGCCCGUAUAGCUGGCGUCAACAUUCCUGAC
rfam:Oceanospirillum sp. MED92 scf_1099521380394 genomic scaffold, whole genome shotgun sequence.